rnacentral:misc_RNA from 1 species
GAUGAAGAACGCAGCGAAAUGCGAUAAGUAGUGUGAAUUGCAGAAUUCAGUGAAUCAUCGAAUCUUUGAACGCACAUUGCGCCCUUUGGUAUUCCGAGGGGCAUGACUGUUCGAGCGUCAUUAUAACCCCUCAAGCUCAGCUUGGUGUUGGGGCCUGCUGCACUGGCAGCCCUUAAAAUCAGUGGCGGCGCCAUCUGGCUCUAAGCGUAGUAAUUCUUCUCGCUAUGGAGUCCUGGUGGAUGCUUGCCAUCAACCCCCAAUUUUUCUAUGGUUGACCUCGGAUCAGGUAGGGAUACCCGCUGAACUUAAGCAUAUCAAUAAGCGGAGGA